rnacentral:sRNA from 1 species
CACAUUUUUAUUUUACAACUAAUUACAAGUUGCAACAAGCUCACCACUCAGCACAAGCAUAUUUACAAAAUGCGAUAAUCAUACAAUAUUAAGUCAUUGACUAAUAAGACAACAUAUGUAGAAACUUAGAUCCAAUUACGUUAAUUAAUCAUCUCAAAUGGAGAUGUGGGAUAAGGAGGAGCUUCUCCUUGCGGUGCACAGCCACCCCGAACGUCUCGGUCAUAUCAAUACCUCCCUUCGCCGCCUGAUCUGCUGGUAGCUCCCAGUCAAAGCGGUACACCAAAUUUGCUAGCAUGAUCUCGAUGGUGGCAAUUGCAAAGUUUAUACCUGGGCAGAUCCUCCGCCCGCUCCCGAAUGGCAAGAAAUGGAAAUUGUUCCCGUUGUAGUCACCUAAUGUGUUAACGAUGAAUCGCUCCGGUAUGAACUCGUCGGCGUUCUCCCAAUAGUUUGAGUCCCUGGCCAAAGCCCAUACAUUGACUAUGACACGAGUACCAGAGGGUAUUGUGUAGCCAUUGAUAUUACAAUCAGAUAUGGAAAGAUGCGGCAUUAGAAGUGGUGCUGGAGGGUGUAGCCGAAGUGUCUCCUUGAUGACCGCCUUUAGGUAGGGCAUACAACCUAGUUGCUCUUCAGUAACUAUGUCUUGCCCCUUUGGCAUCACUCUUCUCACCUCGGCCUGCAGCUUUCCCAUUACAUGGGGCUUCUGCAUCAGCUCAGCCAUGGCGUAUUCUAGCUCGAUGAAUGACGUGUCCAUGCCAGCCAUGAGCAUGGCCGCCAAGUUUGCCUUGAUGUUAUCUUUAGUUAGGCCAUAUUCGUGCUGAAUAGAGAGUAGGACAUCGAUGAAACCUGCUUCCUCAUCGUAGUGGUUGAGCAUCGAGGAAGACCUGAUAUGCUUGGUAGUAUGGUCGUCAAUGAGCUUUUCUAGCAGCUGGUCCCAUCUCUUGUUGAUGUUGUGUGCUUUGGCGCAUGACAGUAGCAAUCUCCUAACUGCGGCCAGCCUUGUAAAGCUAGGAAAGUAGUCCUCAAUGUUGAAGCCACCAAGUAGCGAUGUGUUUACCUUGACCAGCUCCCGAAGUAGUUGAUUCCAACCUUCUUUCAGGGAGAACUUGCCACACACUGCGUGACACACUAUGUUAUUGGAGUAGCAACUUAACAUCUCGGUCAGGUCCACUACCACAUGUUUGGACGCCGCCUCAGUGAUCCUGGCCAUUACUAUCCUCACCUCCCGUUGUCGUGCCGACACAUAGGAGCGCACCUUCUUCAUAGUCAAGAGAUGUGUGGUGGUGAUCUUCUUGAUUUGCCGCCAAUACUCGUUGUACGGGGAGAAGCCGACAUCUGUUGCACCGUAAAAGAGGAUGUUGGCUAUAGGAGAGUAGGGCCGUGAUGCGAAUAUGUCAUCGUGCGUGUGUAGGAUGGAUUGUGCCACACGAGAGGAUGACACCACUAGGGUUGGCACGGCGCCGAGGUGGAGGAGCAUCAUGUCAGGGCUAUGCUUAGUGGCAAGGUCGCGGAGGGAGAUGUGGGGCAAGGAGCCGAUGAGGUGCAGGUGACCGAUCACCGGAAGCCUGCCAGGUACCGAGGGGAGCUUGUCGAGUAGCUUGGCGCCGGACCUUGUGACAUAGCAGCGCAUAACAAGUAGGACAAGGAGAGGGAACAACAAGGACGUCAUGAGCACGAG